rnacentral:lncRNA from 1 species
GUAGAAGUUGCAAGAUUUCCUGAUUGAUAAAGCAUUCACUUGACAAAAUCAGAUUGUGAGAAAGCUUUGUGAGAAAAGAUGGUCCUGCUUCUCCCAACACUGCCUUGCUGUAGAGUUGACAUCUCUUUCAGCUUCUGAAACUGUGUUCAGCGGUACUUCCCAAGAGCUCACUUAGCCAAUGCAGAUAUGUUAUGGAACUGAUAGGGAACAGGAAGAUGACAAGCAGAAAACAAGAUGGAGAGGGGAACGGAGACCAAGGGAAGUGGAACAGCAUGCCAAGUUCCUGCAGUUUUCACCGUCUUCAUGCUUCCAAGAGGAUAGCUGCUGACAAGAGACAGGGUUCCUGUAGAACAGUCGUCCUUGUAUCUGGCCUUUGCCAGCUCAGAGAAGACAGCAAUUGCUACAGCAACAGAGUCCUCAGGCAAAGGAAUUAA